rnacentral:rRNA from 1 species
UCUUCCCUCUGGCGGCGUGCCUAAUACAUGCAAGUCGAGCGAACAGACGAGGAUCUUGCUCCUCUGACGUUAGCGGCGGACGGGUGAGUAACACGUGUAUAACCUACCUAUAAGACUGGGAUAACUUCGGGAAACCGGAGCUAAUACCGGAUAAUAUAUUGAACCGCAUGGUUCAAUAGUGAAAGACGGUUUUGCUGUCACUUAUAGAUGGAUCCGCGCCGCAUUAGCUAGUUGUUAAGGUAACGGCUUACCAAGGCAACGAUGCGUAGCCGACCUGAGAGGGUGAUCGGCCACACUGGAACUGAGACACGGUCAAGACUCCUACGGGAGGCAGCAGUAGGGAAUCUUCCGCAAUGGGCGAAAGCCUGACGGAGCAACGCCGCGUGAGUGAUGAAGGUCUUCGGAUCGUAAAACUCUGUUAUUAGGGAAGAACAAAUGUGUAAGUAACUAUGCACGUCUUGACGGUACCUAAUCAGAAAGCCACGGCUAACUACGUG